CCGGAAAUUUUAACGCAGUCUUUGUGGCAGAGCACAUGUCUAUUCCAAGAUGAUCUAGAUUGAGGAAAUAACAGUUAUUCUUGGCAACGACCAGAUACAUAAGAGUUAUUUGACCUUUCACUGUAUACUUAAGUAUGGAUUUUGAUCAAUCCCAAUGACAGACAACGAAAACGAUAAGUAUCCACUUUUAAGGCGUGUCAGUAGAAAAUGGAUUAUCCUUUCAAAGCCUGAACUUAUUUUAUUUAUUGGUUGUGCUUUGCUUCUGAAAGUUGCGUUGAGGCGUAAAUUAAAAUCGCUCGAACUCAUCCAGAUGCAAAGCCAUGCUAAAGCAACAGAAGUAAUUUUGAUCAAAACGAUUCUGCCCGCAGGAAGUGAAACUUUAGAUGGAAAACAAUUAAGCUAACUAAAAUUGUUUAAAUCUUAAAGGCAUCAGCCGAGUGAAAAAAAAAAAAUACUCAGACACGCUCUUGAUAAGUCAAGAUGUCUUCCUCGAUUUGUAAAAGUGUACUCAAACUUUCCACUUCUAGAAACAUCUCGAGGAAAAUAAGCGAAGAUAGGACAGCGCAGCUACGAAGUAACGAUUCAUUGACAACGGACGAAAAAUCUGUUAGGAGGAAACGAAGUUUGUCGCUUGAUCCUUAUGUUUUACUGCAGUGGGCCGCCACACACAAUGACGUGGACACAUUGAAAAGCGUAGUGGAAGGAUCGAACGUGGAUAUCAACCAGGCGGGUCUCGAUGGAGUUUACCCGUUACAUCGUGCUGCUAGCUCGGGAAGCCUUGAAAGCCUUCAAUAUCUUGUCACGAAAGGUGCACAGCUCGACGUGCGGGAUAAAGAUGGCUCUUCACCGCUGGACGCUGCGGUUUACGAGGGAGAAUUCGACUGCGCAAGCUUCCUGAUCGAAAAAGGCGCCAGCAUCAACCAGAUUCGAGACGGAUUUAUAGACAAGAGUUUAUCACAUGGGAGAAAGAGAGCCAUGACUAUUGAGUAGCGACAGAUGAAAGGAAAGACUCUGCCUCAGUAAUUCCCAACAAAUCUUCAUCAAAAUUCCAUCACGUCCCUUAACAAGCCAGUACGUCUUUGAGUAAACCGUCUGUAUGAGGAAAAAAGGCCAUAAUUCAAACCAGAAAAUAGGAAGUAGGAAGUUUCAGCUGGGUUUCCGAACAACUUUUUCCAUAAGCGGUUUCCGCAGUGGUGUAAUUGAACGGUGGCACCGCGAAACUAAAACACGAGAACCUGCGCUCAGGCUAAAGAGAACUGAGGCGGCGAGAAGUUAGCCGUCUCCUCCUUCACCGAAAUUUUAUAUCGUGUUGCCUUCCUAUAUUUUCCCACUGCUGAGUCGUGGAAAGUGAAGCUAGAGAGGGUUCGCGUGAUAAACAACUACAGCAUCAACAUCAUCAAUACGCGUGGGAAUCAGUUAGGUUUCCACUGCAGGUGUGGUCAUGAGAAAACUUGCUGAAAGAUGGAUCCACGACGAUAAUUCAUCUUAGGUCAGGGCCGAGUGGAUUGUAUUAAUUACAACACCUUUUACAGGUUAUCUUGACUUGUUGACAGACCAUUGCAUAGCUAGUUUUAUGGUGGUGGGUGGGCGAAGUAAGAAAAAGUCACGGAAAGGAGAAAUUUGUCCGCUCAUCGCAGAUAGAGGAAAAAUGAAAUAAAACGCAAUGAAUGUGGAUUGAGUUGAUUACCACUGUUUUCCAACAAAUUAAUCAUUGAGAAAUCCGGCCAAUUAAGUCGGAGAAACAAUCAUGGUAUUCACAAUUCCAUCCUUCCAAAUCUCCUCCUCUCACCCGAACAAAUUAGCAGGUCUGGUCUUUGGCCUGCCCCAGGGGUGGAGUAAUAAAACAAAGCGCGAUAGUAAAGAGCAGUAAACCGGUGGAUAUACUCAGUCAGUACCCAACCUUGCUCCUAAGGACGGGGUUGGACCUUAUCGCGCCGUUUAUUAUUCAGUGAACGCCUAGAACGAGCUAUUUGGUCUGUAAUUAUUAGAUUUUAAAUAAUUC